rnacentral:misc_RNA from 1 species
GUUAAGAUGGUUUGCCAUGGGUAAUUUUGUGCAUGCCAAGCAUAAAUCAGGUUUUUAUUGCUAAGGUGCUAAUUAAGGGGCAAAGGAACACCAAGUAAUGUUAAGAUAGUUUUUUUACUUUUUUUGGUGGGAUAUUCUUGGUGAUUGGUACAAACGAUAAUAUGCCUUUUUGAACUUUCAUUGUUCUAUGUAUUUUGACUCACUGCAAGUGGAAUAUAAUUUAACUACAUAUAGGGCAUUAUGGUAAUGAUGGACUCUAAUGAUUUCAAUGUGGUGAUUGCCUUUCUACAUCUUUGUUAAAUGUAUAUCAAUGGCCACCUGCAUUUUUUUUUCUCAUUAUGUAUUUCUGUACUUUCUGGUUUACUGAUAGGGGACAUAUUAUGUCCACUUGAAGCAAUAGUGAGAUGUUCAUUAAUAUGCUUGUAAUUGGCAGCUUGGACUGGUGGAGAAGAACAU